rnacentral:rRNA from 1 species
UACAGAGGUCUCAACCGGUGUUCGGAUUCAUUGGGCGUAAAGGGUGCGUAGGCGGUCGUGCAAGUCGGAUGUGAAAUCUCAGGGCUCAACCCUGAAACUGCAUUCGAUACUGCGCGGCUAGAGUGCUGGAGGGGAGACUGGAAUUUACGGUGUAGCAGUGAAAUGCGUAGAUAUCGUAAGGAAGACCAGUGGCGAAGGCGAGUCUCUGGACAGCAACUGACGCUGAGGCACGAAGGCCAGGGGAGCAAACGGG